GGCGGAAUGGCAGAGAGGUUAUGCGUGAGAUUGCAAAUCUUACUACCCUAGUUCGAUUCUAGGCUUCCGCCUCCA
rnacentral:tRNA from 2 species